rnacentral:rRNA from 1 species
UUACCCGUAGCGUUUCAUCGGGCCCGUGAAGUGGUAAUUGGUCUUGGGGAUCUUUGGCGAGGGGGUGAGUAACACGUGAGCAACCUGCCCCUGACUCUGGGAUAAGCGCUGGAAACGGCGUCUAAUACUGGAUAUGUGACGUGACCGCAUGGUCUGCGUUUGGAAAGAUUUUUCGGUUGGGGAUGGGCUCGCGGCCUAUCAGCUUGUUGGUGAGGUAAUGGCUCACCAAGGCGUCGACGGGUAGCCGGCCUGAGAGGGUGACCGGCCACACUGGGACUGAGACACGGCCCAGACUCCUACGGGAGGCAGCAGUGGGGAAUAUUGCACAAUGGGCGAAAGCCUGAUGCAGCAACGCCGCGUGAGGGAUGACGGCCUUCGGGUUGUAAACCUCUUUUAGCAGGGAAGAAGCGAAAGUGACGGUACCUGCAGAAAAAGCGCCGGCUAACUACGUGCCAGCAGCCGCGGUAAUACGUAGGGCGCAAGCGUUAUCCGGAAUUAUUGGGCGUAAAGAGCUCGUAGGCGGUUUGUCGCGUCUGCUGUGAAAUCCCGAGGCUCAACCUCGGGCCUGCAGUGGGUACGGGCAGACUAGAGUGCGGUAGGGGAGAUUGGAAUUCCUGGUGUAGCGGUGGAAUGCGCAGAUAUCAGAGGAACACCGAUGGCGA